rnacentral:tRNA from 1 species
GCUGCUAUGGCUCAGUUGGUAGAGCGCAUCCUUGGUAAGGAUGAGGUCAGCAGUUCAAAUCUGCUUAGCAGCU